rnacentral:rRNA from 1 species
UACGUAGGUGGCAAGCGUUGUCCGGAUUUACUGGGCGUAAGGAGCGCGCAGGCGGUCGAUCAAGUCGCGUGUGAAAGCCCCCGGCUCAACUGGGGAGGGUCACGCGAUACUGAUCGACUCGAAGGCAGGAGAGGGUAGUGGAAUUCCCGGUGUAGUGGUGAAAUGCGUAGAUAUCGGGAGGAACACCAGUGGCGAAGGCGACUACCUGGCCUGUUCUUGACGCUGAGGCGCGAAAGCUAGGGGAGCAAACGGG